rnacentral:rRNA from 1 species
UACGUAGGGGGCAAGCGUUUGUCCGGAUUUAUUGGGCGUAAAGAGCGUGUAGGCGGCUUUACAGGUCCGUUGUGAAAACUCGAGGCUCAACCUCGAGACGCCGGUGGAAACCGUAAAGCUAGAGUCCGGAAGAGGAGAGUGGAAUUCCUGGUGUAGCGGUGAAAUGCGCAGAUAUCAGGAGGAACACCCGUGGCGAAAGCGGCUCUCUGGGACGGUACUGACGCUGAGCCGCGAAAGCCAGGGGAGCGAACGGGG